AAAAAAAUCUAAAAAUGGCCCAAAAGUGAAAGAAAUGUUAAAAAAAAAAACCCAAAAUUGACCAAAAUUAAAAGAAUUUGAACAAAAAAAACCCCAAAAAUCAAAGAAAUGGAAAAAAAAAUUAAAAAUGGCCCAAAAGUGAAAGAAAUGGCAAAAAAAAAACCUCAAAAUUGCCCAAAAAUUUGACCAAAAUUCAAAGAAUUUGAAAAAAAAAAACCCAAAAAGUCACAGAAAUGGAAAAAAAAAAACCCCAAAAAGUCAAAGAAAUGGAAAAAAAACCUAAAAAUGGCCCAAAAUUGAAAGAAAUGGCCAAAAAAACCCAAAAAUUGACCCAAAUUUAAAGAAUUUGAACAAAAAAACCCCAAAAAGUCACAGAAAUGGGAAAAAAAAAACGAAAAAUGGCCCAAAAUUGAAAGAAAUGGCAAAAAACCACCAAAAUUGCCCAAAAAUUGAAAGAAAUGGGAAAAAAAAAACCAAAAUUGCCCAAAAUUGAAAGAAAUUAAAAAAAAAAACCUCAAAAAAUUCCCCCCAAAAAUGUUAAAAAACCCCAAAAAUUCCUCAAAAAAAAUUUCAAAAAAAAUCCCCAAAAAUCCCAAAACAACCCCAAAAAAACCUUAAAAAAAAACCCCAAAAAUUACAAAAAAUCUCAAAAAAAAACCCCCAAAAAAACCCCCAAAAAAUUAAAAAAUAACCCCAAAAAUCCCCAAAAAAUUUGGGGAGGAAAAACCCAAAACCCCUCGGAUUUACCCCAAAUUUUCCCGCUGCUGCAGCUGGGCUGAGCAAAAUAAAAAUUC